CAACAUACUGCAGGAGGAGGGAGAGAGGCAGUGUGUUGAUAUGCUGUUUGUAUAAUAACAACAUACUGCAGGAGGAGAGAGAGGCAGUGUGUUGAUAUGCUGUUUGUAUAAUAAUAACAUACUGCAGGAGGAGAGAGAGGCAGUGUGUUGAUAUGCUGUUUGUAUAAUAACAUCAUACUGCAGGAGGAGAGAGAGGCAGUGUGUUGAUAUGCUGUUUGUAUAAUAACAACAUACUGCAGUAGAGAGGCAGUGUGUUGAUAUGCUGUUUGUAUAAUAACAACAUACUGCAGGAGAGAGAGAGGCAGUGUGUUGAUAUGCUGUUUGUAUAAUAACAACAUACUGCAGGAGGAGAGAG
rnacentral:lncRNA from 1 species